GAUGAACGCUGGCGGCGUGCCUAAUACAUGCAAGUCGAGCGAACGGACGAGAAGCUUGCUUCUCUGAUGUUAGCGGCGGACGGGUGAGUAACACGUGGAUAACCUACCUAUAAGACUGGGAUAACUUCGGGAAACCGUAGCUAAUACCGGAUAAUAUUUUGAACCGCAUGGUUCAAAAGUGAAAGACGGUCUUGCUGUCACUUAUAGAUGGAUCCGCGCUGCAUUAGCUAGUUGGUAAGGUAACGGCUUACCAAGGCAACGAUGCAUAGCCGACCUGAGAGGGUGAUCGGCCACACUGGAACUGAGACACGGUCCAGACUCCUACGGGAGGCAGCAGUAGGGAAUCUUCCGCAAUGGGCGAAAGCCUGACGGAGCAACGCCGCGUGAGUGAUGAAGGUCUUCGGAUCGUAAAACUCUGUUAUUAGGGUAGAACAUAUGUGUAAGUAACUGUGCACAUCUUGACGGUACCUAAUCAGAAAGCCACGGCUAAUUACGUG
rnacentral:rRNA from 1 species